AGACAAUCAAGGCGCAGCGACAACCCAAGCUCCCCCCACCCUAAAUCAUGGAAUCAGCUAUGGGAGACCAGAGAGACUGAACUCUUUCCAAAUUACUUGAACUUUUAGCUGAUGUUUUUUCCAAACUGAUAUGAUAAAAAGCAGAUUCCUGUACUGGUUAACGUUUAUGUUUUUCUUGUUUUUCCAAUUUAACAAAAUAGUUUUUUUUCCUAUACAAAGAGUUAUGAAGAUUACAGAUACUAAUCCUCCUUCUAUAUCGAUGGCACUCAUGUCACCAAGCACACAAAGUGACGGUGAAGCUGUGAUAGAAACAUUAAGCCAGACUGAUAGAUCAGCACAAACCUGUUGCCAGAGAGCCUGGACAGGUGUGCAGAACCACAGUGCAUGCAUGUAACUGUCAGGUAAGUUACCAUCGCAGUGCUCACAUAUGUCUGAGCUUCUGAGACCCAUCUUGAACAUCCUCUGACCAGUAUAAUAAAUUCUAUGGAGGGUUUUGAAUUGGAUUAGUUGCAAGUUUGGACUUUUAGUCAGUUUAAAGGUGUUUAGACACAUUUCUGUCCAUUAGCUUUGAUCUGUGCUGCUACUCAGGUCUGCAUCCCAUUUGGUUAUUGGAAUUGAAAUGUUAUUAUCUAGGUUGCAUAAGAGUUUGUAUAUUUUGGAGAAAAUCUUAUUCAUUGAAAGUGUAAAGGUUAGUAAGCCUUUCUAAUAGGGGUGUAAGUGUUGAACUAGCCCUGGUUGUCUGACAGGUUGACGGGUCUCUGCCUGCACCUGUCAGUCUCUUCUAACUCCUUUGCCUUUGUUUGAAAAGCGUGUGGUUUGUCACCCUGGCCUGGCUUCAGAAGGUGAGUGGAUGUAGUAGAGCAGGCUUCAGAGAUAGACCCCCUUUUGGUCAGCUGAAGAGUAGUCCUGCAAUGUACCUGAAUUACGCCGGCCCCAACCCUGCCUCUAAAACAUCCAACCAGGGUGAUGGAGUGCCCCUAACCCAGAGCAAUCUUCUAACAGAGAACCACAGACUUCAGUAGUCUAUUAAACCCAAACACAAAAUAUUUAUUUAGUACCGUGAGCUGAUUUAGAUUACCCCUCUGUGGUAAAUAUAAAUAAAAAAACUGUUAUCCUUCACUGGGAAGUCCAAAUAAAACACAUUAAAACAUCAAAACCUGGUAAAUGACUUGACUGUUCAAUAUAAACAAGAAACAAAACUUGAAUCAGUAAACAAACAAAAAAACAAACCACACAAAAUGUAAUUAUCCACCUCUCCUGUGGCGUGUUAUUCGAUACGACCCUUUUAACGGAGAUUGAAUAAAUAAAAAAAAUAAAACAGAGUUUUAGAUACAACCUGAUAUGAAAUAAAAAUGAAACAAAUAAUAGGUAGGACUUGACAAUUCAAAAAUAAUAGAGUUCUUGGCCUCCUCAGACCAACCAACCUCAAAACAAAAGAACGUCGCUAUCAAUCCUCUCCCCACUGGGAGUCAGAACGCUCUAAGGAAGUGUUAGAUCAGUCUCGUGCAGUUCUUUCUGGCGGUAAAUCAGUUCAAUAGUUCAUACUCCAGACUGGUUCGCCAGUCAACUUAAGUUUUCAACAUAAAAAAAAACAGUCACGCUCGUCUCCGGGGCCUUAGUCGCUUCCCGGGCUUAAUCUGAGCGUCAGCAAAAAGAAAAUAAAAACAGUACCUUUUAUCUUGUAGAAAAGAAAGUUGUUACCAGGACGGAUCAAUGGAGAGCGAACUGCAUGGGAGGGAACUCCUUCUUCCAUAAACUGCUCGAUCUGGCUGUUCCGUCCUCACCGGGAACUGGCUCUCGUCCCCACCACAAGGGGGCUGCCGCGGCUCUCCGAAGAUCCGAUGGCUGCGGCCUGCUUUCUCUCCCACACAUGCCGGCUGUCGUCAGGCUCUGCCAACGUAACUGAAUGAAGAUAGAUUCGCCCCGGAGCUCCGACGUCCCCGCCUCGGCCAAUCCGAUGUCUGCGGCUGCCUCGUCUCCUCCACACGCCGGCUGUCCUCCCGCUCAGCUCACUCAACUGGACAGAGACUGCGCUGCCUCAACGCUCCGACGUUUCCACCUCCGGGAAGCUCGCUGAGCGCGGCCGCUCCUCUCCUCCUCACGUGCUGGCUGUCGCCCCGCUCUGCUCAUGCAGCUGGACCGAGACCGCGCCGCUCCAAACAGUUUACCACGGAGAGUCCAGGGACUGCAUUUCCAUGUCCGUUUCCUUCACUUCCUCGUCUCUGCCCUCCUAUCGUCCGACCUCCUCUCUUGCCGUUCCCGCAUUCCUCUCCCUCUUUCCGGCCCGUCCUGACGUCAUCCCCGGUCCGGCUUCAAUUUUUGUCUCCCCUUACAAAAGUUUAAAGAAAGAGGUAACUAGUUCUGGUAAUUUUAAGUCUCUAUCAUUGUAUUUAACUUUUUUAGUAAUUAUAGAUUUCAGUUGCUGGUAUUCCAAGAAGUGAUUUAUUCCAUGUUUUUCUUGUAGUUCCUGGGGUGUGAUAAAUCUUCUAUCAAUAAUUAGGUGCUCUAGUAGUGUUACGCCUCCUGCUUGCCAAGGUGGGAAGUGUAACAUCUUUUUGUUUAUAAGGAUGUCUGGGUUGUUCCAGAUGGGUGUCAUUUUACAAGGUACGACUGAGGACUUGGACACUUUGAGAAAAUCCCACCAGGCUGUUAAGGUGGUACUUAUGUUAAUACUUUGGAAACUAUCAUGUUUUUUUAUCAUUUGGCUGAUAAAUGGUAGAUCUGACAGGUUGAUCUUUCCACACAACUCCUGUUCCAAGUCCAUCCAUGUAUUAUUUCCUGGAUUAUUUCUUGACCAUUUUAAGAUGUACUGUAAUCUGAUAGCAAUAAAAUAAUUGUUGAAGUUUGGUAAUUCUAAGCCUCCACAUCUUUUUGCCGAUUUUAGAGUUUUAAGGCUGAUUCUUGCUGGUUUAUUUUUCCAGAGAAAGCUGGUUAUGGCUGAGUCUAAUGUUUUAAACCAUUUUAUUGGAGGUUGUGUUGGAAUCAUGGAGAAUAGAUAAUUAACUUUUGGCAAAAUGUUCAUUUUAAUUGUGGCUACUUUGCCCAUAAGCGACAGGGGCAGGUUGACCCAGCGAGUUAGAUCGUCUUGAAUGUUUUUCAGUAACGGGGUAUAAUUUAGCUGCACCAGUUCUGAUAGUUUGGGAGAGAAGUGAACACCUAGAUAUUUGAUAUUGCCUGAUUUGACCGGUAUUGAGAGUGAUUGCUCAGCGUUACUGUUUAGUGAUAAUAAAACUGAUUUAUUCCAAUUAAUUGAAUAUUCUGAGAUGGAGGAGAAUUUGUUAAUAAUUGUUAUUGUUUCACUUAUAGAACAUGAUUUAUUUAAAAAAAGUAAUAUGUCAUCCGCAUAGAGACUAAUUUUAUGAUUGCCAUGUUUUGUUUUAACUCCUUUAAUGUUCUCAUUCUGUCUUAUUGCUGCAGCCAGAGGCUCGAUGAAUAUUGCAAAGAGAGAGGGGGAGAGUGGACAACCCUGUCUGGUUCCUCUUCCAAGAAAAAACCUGCUGGACGUCUGUUUGUCCGUUCUGACUGAAGCAUUUGGGUUAUGAUAUAAUAUUUUAAUCCAAUCAAUGAAUGAUUCUCCAAAUCCGAACUUGUGGAGAGCAGCGAUGAGAAACUUCCAGUUGACUCUGUCGAAAGCUUUUUCAGCAUCCAACGAGAAUAAUUUUGACGUCUGCAUUGAUCAGUGAGAUGGGACGAUAGCUGGAAGGAGUUGUGGGAUCUUUCUCUGGUUUGAGAAGAAGGAUUAUAUUUGCUGAAUUCAUGUUUGGUGGAAGUAACUGAUUUUCCUUUAUAAAUGUAACCAUUUUAUAAAAAGUUUCUGCUAGCUGUUCCCAGAAUUCUUUGUAAAACUCAGCGGGAAAGCCAUCCGGCCCCGGAGCUUUGUUGUUCGGCAUAAGCAGCAGAGCAUCAUGAAGUUCAGAUGAUGAGAGCGGCGAGUCUAAGUCUUUGAUUUGAUCUUCAUUUAAUCUGGGAAGGUUUACAUUAUUAAGAAAUGAAUUGAUGCUUUGCUCUGAUGGAUUGAUCUCUGAAGUGUAUAAGUUCUUAUAAAAAUCUUUAAAAGUUUCAUUAAUUUUGAUCGGGUCAUGAGUGACAUUUCCUGACUCAUCAGUAAUAGAUGUUAUUGUGGAUUUUUCUUUAUUAAUUUUAAGCUGAUUAGCUAAAAAUUUGCCAGAUUUAUUAGAGUUUUCAAAUCUUUCUAGUCUAAGUCUUUGUAUUUGGAAUUGUGUUUGUUUGUUAAUUAUGUCGUUUAACUGAAGCCUUAGUUUUUUUAAAUCUCCCAGAAUCUGUUCUUCUGCAGAAGCAGCAUAAGCUGUCUCCAUUAUUUUUAUUUUAUUUU